rnacentral:tRNA from 1 species
AUAGAGGUGGUUUAGUGGUAGAAUUCUCACCUUCCAUGUGGGAUACCAGGGUUCAGUUCCCAGCCAAUAUA